CACCCAGGCUGGAAUGCAGUGGCGCUCUCGGCUCACUGUAACCUGCACCCCCUGAGUUCAAGUGAUUCUCCUGCCUCAGCCUCCUGAUAAAACCUUUCCAUCACUAAAUUAGGUUCAAGUGGUGGUGGGGGGAGGAAGUGGGCCUGCAAAUUUCCUGACAUUAGACAGUUUAACUAGAGGGAAAAAGAACAUGCUUUAUAUUCAUACAUGUGACAGCAUUAGAAAGCAGUAGCUUGCUGAACAGCUAGGGGUAAGGGUAUAUUACAACAACAAUUUAAUAGGCAGAAGGAGCGGGAAAGCUAGAGCUUCUGUGGGAAGUACAAAUGGGCUUUUAGGGAAACCAAUGGCAGGUAUUACAGUUUAUGAUAAUGUUUGUUUAUGCAAUUUCUCACCCAGGUGCUAACAGUCAGGCUCCUUCCUGGCUGGAAGCUCCCCCAGAGAGGGGAUUUAUGGCAGCUUCAUUCUCCAAAGGCCCUGCCUAUAGUCAGAUAAGGGAAGCUCAGAAGAGGCUUCUUUCUGCAUCUAUAACUUGAAUGUCUUAAAAGAAUCAUUGUACCAUAGGGUGGGUUGUGAUUCCCUUUAACUUCCACCUCAUUCUGUUUAUUAGUCAAGGGAAGUCGCAAAACCAGACGGAAUUCAAGGGAAGGAAACCGACUCCGCCUCUGAUGGCUGCAACAGUAUGCACAUUCAGGGAGGAAAGGAAUUAGCAGUGGUCAUCUUUCUGGACCAUCUACCACAGUGGCUAAAGUUAACACCUAGAAAGGAAGGUCGUGUUUUCAGCUUCUUUGACUGCUGCUCCAGGUGUCAAACCCUGAAGGGUGAGCUGACGCUAAAGACUGAGUGGUUAUUUUUUCCAGAAGAGGAGAAAGAUUGAAAAUGUGGCCGGCCGAUUCUCCCUGAUGAUCACACAGACAGACCUGCAUGACAGUCAAACAGACAGGCCUGCAUAGCACCCCAGUUACACAGACGAAUUUCCCCAGAGCUGCCUUAACAUUGAGCAAAUAGUUAAACCUAGGGAAAUUGGUGCCCAGACAGCAAAGC
rnacentral:lncRNA from 1 species